UUUUGACUUUUUUUUUACUCUACUCUGAACCAACUAGUAUGGAAAUCACUAAAAAGAAUAUCUACAGACAGGAACAAACUGUCCUGAAAGAUGUAAAAAGAGACACCAACAGCUUGUAAUGAAGGCAUAGAACUAGAGCAACCAGGUUGAAGGAGUCCCGGAUAAAGGAUGCCUUUGUGGCCUUUUACCAAAUCCAAGGAUUCGCCAGAAUUAAAAUUUGGAAAAUUUAAAUUUUGAUACUGGAUUUCAUUAGCCAGCCACAAGAGAACACUGAGCCCCAAACUCAGCUCAUUUUGUCGAACUCUUUCACACCACUAAUGGUAGACCCAUAGAUAAGCUAGUACUGCUGGUAUACGGCAUCCUGCUACAAAAGCCUACACCAUGUAUAGGCCCAUGUAUUAACUAAUAAAUACAUAUUAGAGCUCUGCCACUUCUCUUCUACCUGCCAUAAUUGGAUCACGAAGCCCUUAUAGUCAAGUGUCGACCACCAAAGGAUGGCUCCGUAUAUGAGAAGAGGUUUGAUAAUAGAUGUGUUGAUUCAGUGAUAGAUUUUGCUACCGAAAAAUCUCCUCUGGGCCGAAACCGCGCAGGUGGCGUUUUUAAUCUUAAUAUAUUCGUGACCGUACCCGAAGAGUUUGGAAUUUAGUGUGAUACCUAGAAACCAUACUAUCUAGGGUAUUUCAACUGCAUGUCUUCCAGAGAUGCAAUGCAGUAAUCCAAUGCAAAACCAAAAACUAAAGAAAAUUAUUCUAGAAGAAUAAGGCAUACCAUAAAGACAGAUCGCAAAAACGAUGGGGUUACACAAGGGAUUGUUUCAAAAAUCUAUUCAAUGUUUCUGGAACCGGAAACACUAAAGAAUAGACCUAGAAGAAGUCAUGGAAGCAUUGUUACAGAAGGGCAAGUCGCUUUGUUACUAAAAAAAGCCAGAAUAUAUCCGACAACAUCUCAUUCAGAGCUUCAGAUGCAACUUUUGUAAGUUAAAGAUGAAGCCCUGAGGCACGCCUUUCUCCAGCUGCAUUAUACUAGAGGAAUAGUCAACAAUAUUCCUACAUGUAUACAUUCAUAGGAAUCUAUCCUCUUAGUAGGAUUCUAU